UUUAUAUGAGAGUUUGAUCCUGGCUCAGGAUGAACGCCGGCGGUGUGCCUAAUACAUGCAAGUCGUACGCACUGGCCCAACUGAUUGAUGGUGCUUGCACCUGAUUGACGAUGGAUCACCAGUGAGUGGCGGACGGGUGAGUAACACGUAGGUAACCUGCCCCGGAGCGGGGGAUAACAUUUGGAAACAGAUGCUAAUAC
rnacentral:rRNA from 1 species